GAUGAACGCUGGCGGCGUGCCUAAUACAUGUAAGUCGAGCGAACGGACGAGAAGCUUGCUUCUCUGAUGUUAGCGGCGGACGGGUGAGUAACACGUGGAUAACCUACCUAUAAGACUGGGAUAACUUCGGGAAACCGGAGCUAAUACCGGAUAAUAUUUUGAACCGCAUGGUUCAAAAGUGAAAGACGGUCUUGCUGUCACUUAUAGAUGGAUCCGCGCUGCAUUAGCUAGUUGGUAAGGUGACGGCUUACCAAGGCAACGAUGCAUAGCCGACCUGAGAGGGUGAUCGGCCACACUGGAACUGAGACACGGUCCAGACUCCUACGGGAGGCAGCAGUAGGGAAUCUUCCGCAAUGGGCGAAAGCCUGACGGAGCAACGCCGCGUGAGUGAUGAAGGUCUUCGGAUCGUAAAACUCUGUUAUUAGGGAAGAACAUAUGUGUAAGUAACUGUGCACAUCUUGACGGUACCUAAUCAGAAAGCCACGGCUAACUACGUG
rnacentral:rRNA from 1 species